AGAGUUUGAUCCUGGCUCAGGACGAACGCUGGCGGCGUGCUUAACACAUGCAAGUCGAGCGAUGAAACUACUUCGGUAGUGAAUUAGCGGCGAACGGGUGAGGAACACGUGAGGAAUCUGCCUUCUACACUGGGAUAACUCCGGGAAACCGGGGCUAAUACCGGAUAUGAAACUUGGUGGCAUCACCGAGUUUGGAAAGUUUUUCGGUAGAAGAUGACCUCGCGGCCUAUCAGCUUGUUGGUGAGGUAAUGGCUCACCAAGGCGACGACGGGUAGCCGGCCUGAGAGGGCGACCGGCCACACUGGGACUGAGACACGGCCCAGACUCCUACGGGAGGCAGCAGUGGGGAAUAUUGGGCAAUGGAGGAAACUCUGACCCAGCGACGCCGCGUGCGGGAUGAAGGCCUUCGGGUUGUAAACCGCUUUCAGUAGGGAAGAAGCGAAAGUGACGGUACCUACAGAAGAAGCACCGGCUAACUAUGUGCCAGCAGCCGCGGUAAUACAUAGGGUGCAAGCGUUGUCCGGAAUUAUUGGGCGUAAAGAGCUCGUAGGUGGUUCGUUACGUCGGAUGUGAAAAUCUGGGGCUCAACCCCAGACCUGCAUCCGAUACGGUCGAGCUAGAGUUUGGUAGGGGAGACUGGAAUUCCUGGUGUAGCGGUGGAAUGCGCAGAUAUCAGGAGGAACACCAAUGGCGAAGGCAGGUCUCUGGGCCAAUACUGACACUGAGGAGCGAAAGCGUGGGGAGCGAACAGGAUUAGAUACCCUGGUAGUCCACGCCGUAAACGGUGGGCGCUAGUUGUG
rnacentral:rRNA from 1 species